GAUGAACGCUAGCUACAGGCUUAACACAUGCAAGUCGAGGGGAAACGAUGAGAGAGCUUGCUCUCUUAGGCGUCGACCGGCGCACGGGUGAGUAACGCGUAUCCAACCUACCCAUUACAGGGGGAUAACCUUGCGAAAGCAAGACUAAUACCCCAUGGCAUUUUAUGGUGGCAUCAUUAUAGGAUUAAAGAUUUAUUGGUAAUGGAUGGGGAUGCGUCUGAUUAGCUUGUUGGCGGGGUAACGGCCCACCAAGGCAACGAUCAGUAGGGGUUCUGAGAGGAAGGUCCCCCACAUUGGAACUGAGACACGGUCCAAACUCCUACGGGAGGCAGCAGUGAGGAAUAUUGGUCAAUGGGCGAGAGCUUGAACCAGCCAAGUAGCGUGCAGGAUGACGGCCCUAUGGGUUGUAAACUGCUUUUAUAGGGGAAUAAAGUGAGCUACGUGUAGUUUAUUGCAUGUACCCUAUGAAUAAGGACCGGCUAAUUCCGUG
rnacentral:rRNA from 1 species